rnacentral:rRNA from 1 species
UACGUAGGCAGCAAGCGUUGUUCGGAGUUACUGGGCGUAAAGGGUGUGUAGGCGGUUGUUUAAGUUUGGUGUGAAAUCUCCCGGCUCAACUGGGAGGGUGCGCCGAAUACUGAAUGACUCGAGUGCGGGAGAGGAAAGUGGAAUUCCUGGUGUAGCGGUGAAAUGCGUAGAUAUCAGGAGGAACACCGGUGGCGAAGGCGGCAUCCUGGACCGACACUGACGCUGAGGAGCGAAAGCCAGGGGAGCAAACGGG